rnacentral:lncRNA from 1 species
CUUCCGGGUCCCUUCUCUCAGAGAAUAUUAUAAUAUAUUCCUGACUCAAGACCCAGGAAUACAGUCCACCAUUAAGACGGUGACUCAUGUACUUGGACCAAACAUAAAGAAGGUCUUGACUUUCAUACCUGGAGCCAGAAAAUGUAUGGAAUUUUGAAUCUCAUUUCUGGACCUGCUUGCAGGCGUGAUUGUGACAUAUACCUUGGUCCAGCACCUGAG